rnacentral:rRNA from 1 species
UACGUAGGGGGCAAGCGUUGUCCGGAAUUAUUGGGCGUAAAGAGCUCGUAGGCGGCUUGUCGCGUCGGAUGUGAAAGCCCGGGGCUUAACUCCGGGUCUGCAUUCGAUACGGGCAGGCUAGAGUUCGGUAGGGGAGAUCGGAAUUCCUGGUGUAGCGGUGAAAUGCGCAGAUAUCAGGAGGAACACCGGUGGCGAAGGCGGAUCUCUGGGCCGAUACUGACGCUGAGGAGCGAAAGCGUGGGGAGCGAACAGG